AGUCUGUUUGUGGAAUAGCUAGACGACACACGUGGACUAUCUCGCGACGAUACCCAGACCUGAUUAAUUCAAGAUGGCCGACUCAGAGCUCACUAAGUUCCAGAAAGCCAAAAUCCUGCGAGUGUUUAACAUAUUAUACGACAGCAACAAAGACGGGUACAUAGAGGAGAAAGAUUUCACGCUGGCAAUCGAGAAGGUAUGUCUUAUCCUGGAAUGGCCGGAAAAUAGUGAAAAACAUCGGGAGACUGAGGAAGCGCUGGGACUUAUCUGGACGGGACUGAAAACCUACGCGGACGUCAAUGCUGAUGGUCGCGUGUCUAAGGACGAGUGGAUCUGUAUGUGGGAAGACUGUAUCCGCAGUAACACCGUCCCCGAGUGGCAGGAGAAGUUCAUGGAAUUCAUGUUUAAUGUCAACGACAAGUCAGGUGACAAGGAGAUUGACGCGAAGGAGUAUGAGACGUAUUAUAGUAACUAUAUCUCGGUGGAGGAAUGUAGGAUGGCCUUCCAUAAGAUGUCUGGCGGUGAGAACAUAUCACGAUCUGAGUUUCGCAAGCUCUGGAAGGAGUACUUCUUCUCAGACGAUCGCGAAGCGAAAGGCAACUACCUGUUUGGUGUCCCCGAUUUCCUGGCCGAAUGAGAUGUCACGUGAUCAGUUGAUGUUCCUAUUCAUAGCCUAGGAUCUCGUGAAAAGCACGCGACCUGGCUGUUGACGAACAUGGAGCGAUUGAUUUUCUGUCUAAGUGAAUGUAAAGAUUGAAAGCUCUAGUGUAGCCACAUGGCCGGAUGUUCAACGAAAAUUUGUCCACUUUACGCAUGCGCAUGUGUCUUUAUUUAACGUCACUGAUCAGAUGGAGAGUAAAUUUCGUUUUUUUCAAAAAUCUGACUUGUCGAAGAGAACAAGAACAUAAUUAAAAUUAAGUACAUAUUUCUAACCAGGACAUAAAGAACAUUCGUAUUUGUAGCAUGGCAACAAAACUCCUUUCUCUGUACAUGUGUUACUAAACAACUCAUCACAAACAUUUUUAGAUUUCGGUCUUUUUUUGCUUUUGUAGGUGGAUUUAGCGAUGUAAUCUUUCGGCUGCAAUUAAUUCUAAAACCAACCAGAGAAAUAAAACAAACAUAACCCAUAAAAUCCCAAUAAGCCAGUAUUUUUUUCGAACAAUUGCACUUGAACGAGUUAUGUUGGUGUACGUGAGUCAUGAAUGCACGUGACUUGGUGUGCACGUGACUUAGUGUGCACGUGACUUCUGUCAAUAAAUCUGUAAUUUAAUGCUUUGCCAUAUUUGCGCUACUAUAUUUAUGCAAUCAAGGGCCAGACAUUACACAAUUGAAUAAGUAUUUAUAUUUCUUGCAUUCUAUCCGUACUUUUAUCCCGAUAACAGGCCGUCCCGUGCGUACAGCACAGUCUUUAAACAGCGUACAUCCAGGAUAAAAGUUACGGAUAAAUGCUUAUUAAUUCAAAAUCAUUCAACCUUGUGAUAAAUAACGCUUCAACAUUUUAGGGUAAGAUCUUAACGAUCUUGUUAUUGGAACAAAUUCGCUAUGGAUACAUUUCAUUCAAUUUUGUUAACUGUCCAUGGUCCAAACUAUGUGUCUGUCAGAGGCGACACCAAUGCAUGGGGUUAAGAUUUCGCGUAUUUUUGCAAGCCUUGAAUAAAGAAGUAUUGUUUAUCGGCUAGCUUUGACAAUAAAACAAAUAAAAUUUCAAUAGUCCUUAAAAAAUUGCAUCACUACCGCCCAAUAAGGUAUCAUAUUUUUGUUUAUGAAAGUUCUGACCAAAGGGUGAUAACAAUUACAGUUUACUGCAAAACGGUAAUAGAAGUAGUGUCACAUAUUUAUAAGUGAUGACGUACAAACCCGUCAAAAGGUAGUAGGUAAAUAUCACCGAGUCACGUGUGAAAAUCACCGAGUCACGUGUGAAAAUCACCGAGUCACUAGCAAUCAAUGGUAAUCAAAUAAAUAUAUAUGUAAUAUUAUAUAAAAUCAUGUAUACGACUGUUCAUAUCAUCCAGAUCACGGGUUACCCACGUGAUAGCAACAGUACAUGCACGUGCACAUGUAUAUGUAUAUACCACGUGUGGGUUAGAAACAUUGACAGCAUCAAGAUUUAAUCGUAUCUAGUGGGUGUUUUGGUAUAAUUAUUUACUGUAGUCCUAUUCUUACACGGUGGUAGUGCACAUUACCUGGUCAUGUUACCUGUGUACGGAUUGUUGAUUGGUUUAUAACCUUCUAAUUGUAGAUGUGGAGUCACACAAGUAAAAUUGCAAAAUCAGAACCAUCUCUCGUGGUUUUUUUGUUAGACUCCUGAUUGGUCCAAUCCAUGUUGUUCGUGUGGUAUGGCUAACCAUCUGAUUGGUCUAUUUUCCAGUGGUUAUGUGAUAGGGCUGGUCAUCUCUUUGGUCCAUUCGAUCUUGCCUGUACAGAUUAGGUGUUAUUUACAUUACAGAUUGGUUUUCACAUAUGUCAUUAUUUCAGUUCAUGCAGCCAUGCGCAAACAACAAUACAUGUAACAUAAUUGUGAUCACUUGUUAAAAUCCUUUUCGCUUAAGAGAAUGACUCUACCAGUUAAAAUUCAAUCUUUUUGGUGUAUAACCAUCCGAGGUGUUCCGGGUAAAUGAUAACCCGAGGUGUUCUUAAGGCAUUUUUGUUAAAUGACCGUCCAACGAAUUUCGAAGAGCUACAAGUGUGAAUAUUCGAGAAGUCUGAACGGAGUUUACCAUUUAAGGAGUUUUAGUGAAGAUUGCUUACAGUGCGAGAGGUUCCGAAGGAAGUUAUAUUAACGAGUGACACGGACGAAGGUUAGUGGGAGACAUUUUAGCUAGAUUGUUUCUACAUUUUUCCUAUCUAUUAUCUUUAUACGUGGUUGAUGUGUGUUCUGUGCCUGAUCAUUGGUGUUGUAAGGUAUAUGUAGAUAUGUUGUACCACUUACACCUGCACGUUGGCACACUUCUACUUCCUGUUUAAACACCGGUAUUUAUCCCUAUAUCUACACUUACCUGAAUAAACAUGUAUCCAUACACACAUGACUCUUAUAUAAAAACAUUCUGUAAUACACAAUCCUGUAUUUACACAAUCCUGUAAUACACAAUCCUGUAUUUACACAAUCCUGUAUUUACACAAUCCUGAAUUUACACAUUCCUAUAUUUACACAUACCUAACAUUCCUAUAUUUAAACAUUUCUAACAUUCCUAUAUUUACACAUUCCUGUAUUUACACAUUCCUAUAUUUACACAUUCCUAUUUUUACACAUACCUAACAUUCCUAUAUUUACACAUUCCUAACAUUCCUAUAUUUACACAUUCCUGUAUUUACACAUUCCUAUAUUUACACAUUCCUAUUUUUACACAUUCAUAUAUUAACACAAUCCUUUAUUUACACAAUCCUGUAUUUACACAUUCCUGUAUUAACACAUUCCUGUUUUUACACGUUUCCGGUAUUAAUCCUGUCUUUUAUUACACGUUUCAUCUUUACACAGAAAUUUACACAUUCCUGUAUUAAAUAUUUCUGUUUUUACAAAAUCCCAUAUUUACAAAAUUUUCCAAGCAUUGUGUAAAGAAAUAUCAGCGUUUACAUACGAUGGUGUUAACACACUGUCGUAUUAAUGUACACAGACACAUAUAUACAACGUCAUUGAUGACGUAACCAUAUACAUGACAUAGAUCUAGAUGACAUAAUCAUUUUCGAACCCAAUGUACAUAAACAUACUUUGUUCUGAGAAAGUCGAUUUUCCAAAGUAGACGUCGGAACACCUAAUUAAUGACGUCAGUCUAUAAACCUGUCAACCAUCAUAUUGUAGAGUCAAUAUAUCUAUACGUGGAUGAUUAUCAAUUUAAAACUGAAACGUCAAAACGAUUUAAGACAGCUUAAAGCAUAGUAGGCAGCAAACGAUAUUUAGUAUCAUAUUACUUUUUUUCGUAUUGCAGAGUUAUCUGCUCUUGUGAGCAGGUAUUGAUUGCUACGGCAUUAAUUUGGUUGAGAAAAAUUACGUCGUUUUCUCAAAGAUUUAUGACGUUAUUCUCACAAACAAAUGACGUAACAAUCAAUACCUGCUCACAAGAGAAGAUAACUCUGCAAUACGAAAAGACGGAAUAUGGAAACAAAGAGGACAACUAACUGGUAAUGUAUUCAUGGAUAAAAUAGUUUGGUAUCAAACUCGACUUUUUAUUUAAAUAAAUCUGACUAAACGCCACAAGUACAGUGUCUUAACUAAUCCCACAGCUCAGUCAGCGAACGUCCAUAAAGGGCCUUAGCUGUUAAUAGGACGUUAAACAAAAUAAAACCAAACCAAAUCAGUCAGCGAGCUAUAUUCUAUAGUGUUUACAUCAAUCUUAUAUAUGGAGAUUAACCACAGAAUUAAAAAAAUCUAAAUACAUAACUGUUCUUCGUAACUACUUUUCGAAAGACCAUUUAGGUAGACACCUAUUUCAUACGAAAAUUAUAUAUUUACAUAGAGAUUAUACACGUAAAGAGAUAUUGACACUCAGUCGUCAGAUAGCACCUUCAUUGAAACAAAGUGGCAAUAGUAUUCAUGUUUAUUAAAUAAACAGAAACGCGCCUGCGCGACAAUUGCCAGUGAUAUCCGACGCUGUACUUAUGACGUCACUAUCACCACACGGGAAGCCAACUCACAUUGCAUUUAUAACACCAUGAAUGCACAAUGACUUUGCAAGCAUCGUACACUAUCUUUUGUAUCCCAAUAUGUGUUCCACCUGUGUAUUGUGUGUUUAACCACUGGACACUGGUCAGUGAUGUUUGGCUUCUGAUCAGGAAGGAAUUAGGGACUGAAGUGAGUUUUCACGUGUGUGUUUAUAACGGCCAUAGAUUUCACGUAACUCGUCACUGGGUGAAUUGUCACGUGACUUUUACAGGUAGGUUAAUUUGGCACACGUGGUAAGUUUGGCCAAACAUGCUGUUUGGUAGUUUGGGAGACAUGUCGCUUAAGCGGUCAUUGCACACAUUUCGGUGACAGUUAAAGAGAUUUAUUGGUUUUGUGGGGGUUUUAAAACAUAACGUUUGAUGGUUAAAUGAAAAAGAUGAUUUCAUGGUUUUUUAAAGACAACGGUUUUGUGGUUUUUCAGCACAUAUUAAUUUUGUAGUUAAAGACGACACAUUGGUUUGAUGAUUUAAGAAGGCACAUUUAUGGGUGUUAUUUUUGUCACAUAGAUUUGUGGUUUAGAAGAAGGCUUUGUUAUGUGGUUGAAGCAGAUCUAUAGAUGGCUAGGUUCGCAAUCUAUGUUGUGUAUCAUUGUACUGUAGGUGUUUACUCUUUUUACCUUUAUACCCUAUUAAAUACCUACU
rnacentral:misc_RNA from 1 species